ensembl:snRNA U6 U6 spliceosomal RNA
GUGCUCGCCUUGGGGAGCACAUGCACUAAAAUUGGACGGAUCCAGAGAAGAUCAGCAUGGCCCCUGAGCAAGGGUGACACACAAAUUCAUGCAGUGCUCUGGAUUUAA